rnacentral:lncRNA from 1 species
UAUAUACAUUUGCACCAUCUCGUCAAUUUAGCCAGACUUAUCCAUAACGAUUAUAAAUGAUAUCUGGGAGUCUGCAACUCAGAAAAAUAUACUGGAUCUGAACAUGAAUGAAACAUUUACCCCUGGACGUUCAGCUACAAACAAAAUCAUGCAUUUUUCUUUGCCUUCUUCAAAUUAUAUUAACAGUAUACUAUUCCAAGAAGAG